rnacentral:pre_miRNA from 1 species
CAACAGUGAGGCUUUUUACCAGUCAGGCUCUGGCCAUACUCCAGGACACAGGAGAUCCUGGGUAUGACCAGAGCCGACUGUACACUGACCCAG